rnacentral:lncRNA from 1 species
CACCAGGUAAAUUCCCCAGUGACACAGAUGGCUUGUUGGAUGGAGCUCACCACUGAGCCUCUGGCCUGUCAGGCGGUUCAGCUGGUUGUCAGGAUAAAAGGACGACAGGGCUGGCUGCCUCUGUCUCCUGUGAGCUUCUCAAGUGACAAAUGCUAGUGCUUCAGAAACAAACAAACAAAAAGAGUAAGAGGAAAAAUGCCUGUGAGCGAGUGGAGGGCAGUUAUGUUCUUCAUCUCACCUGCAUCUGAGAGCUUAGAUGUCACAGGAAUCAUUAGAACGCCUCAUAGGAGAACACAGGAACAGGCUGCUCUGUUUUAUUAUUUUCUUUUCUUUAUUAAAGUAUACUCGAUUUACAGUGUUGUGUUAAGUAUGUGCUAAUAAAAUGUUGUGUUAGUUUCAGUGUACUGCAAAGUGAUUCAUAUAUAUAAAUUCUUUUUCAGAUUAUUAUCCAUUAUAGGUUAUUGGAAAAUAUUGAGUAAAUUUCCCUGUGCUAUGUAGUAGGUCUUUGUUGAUUAUCCAUUUUAUAUGUUGUAGUUUUUAUCUGCUGAUUCAAACUCCUAAUUUAUUCCUCCCCUCUUCCACUUUGGUAACCUUAAGUUUGUUUUCUAUGUUUGCGGUCUAUUUCUGUUUUGUAUAUAAGUUCAUUUGUAUCCUAUUUUAGAUUCUACAUGUAUAAUAUUUGUCUUUCUCUGAUUUACUUCACUCAGUAUGAUAAGCUAUAGGUUAUCCUAGUUUCCGCAAAUGACAUCAUUUCAUUCUUUUUUAUGGCUGAGUAAUAUUCCACUGUAUAAAUGUACUACAUCUUCUUUGUCCAUUCAACUGCCUAUAGAAAUUUAGGUUAUUUCCAUGUCAUGGCUAUUGUGAUUAGUGCUGCUAUGAAUGUUGGGGUGCAUGUAUCUUUUCAAAUUAGAGUUUCCUCCUGUUAUAUGCCCAGGAGUGGGAUUGAUGGAUCAUUUGAUAGUUCUGUUUUUAGUUUUUUAAGGAACCUCCCUCCUGUUCUCCAUAGUGGCUGCACUAUUUAUUCAUCAGAAUACAGAAGCAUAGACCAUCAUCUCAACACGCAGCUCAGUAGAAAGUCAGGACCGAACUGUAUAGGAGGAGCACACAGGGAGAUGUGGACUUAGAAGUAGCAUCUAAGGAAGACUGCAUGGGUUUAAGGCUCAGGAAAUGGCAGGUGUUCACCCACCAGGCAGAGACAUGGGUCAUGGUCUUAGAGCAAGACCAGCUUCCAUGAAAGUCUGGAGAAAAGUGCAGGGUGAGGUGGUUUGGGACCUCAUUGGCUGAGCACAGUCUGUGGGUUCAUCACAUGGUCCCUGUGCCUGGCUGCUCCUACCCAUGCAGACAGUCCUGGGGACCCUUCCCUCCACAUACUGUUCAUUCCUGACCUCAAGCCUGAGCUUGGCUCUUGCCUUGGCCUUGUGUCUUUUCUAUGUAUCCUUCCUGGUCUUGUCGCAGGACACCUCCUGCCUCUUAGUCCCAGGGAGAGGAGUCCUUCUUUGUUUCAACCUCCUGCAGUACUCCCAUCAGGAUUAACCACUGAUGUGUCUAUUUCUCUGAGUGAUGCUGAAUGGUGACUGGGUGCCAGAUGUGCUCAGACAUGGGGUCCUGACAAAAAUGAUCCAUAGGAGAAGUUUGUGUUGGACUCCACCCUUAACUCCCCCUUGCUACUUAGAGUCUGUUGUCCUGGAAUGUCCCCCUAAUUCUUCCCCAUGACCCUCAAUAAGUCCAUCUCAGCAGCUUAAGACAUUUAGGUUGACAUGGUUCCUGCAGAUAAUCUUGUAAAGGGCUUCUACUGUCAAUUCUUCAGGAACAGGUCCUUAGCACAAAAUAAUUAGCCAACAUGUCCAAACCGAUGAAAUGUCAGAAAAUUUUGAAGGGGUUCUCAUAUCAGCUACUCUUGAUGAGUUUCAACAGUGUUCUUAUAAAAAGAAGUGUCUUAAUCACCACAAAGCUCUGAUGGUAGAAAUGUUAAGUGAGGAAGAAAUAAGAGGCUGUUAAAAAGUUCAUAUUCAAGUCAGGGCUCCUGGCUAGUUGGCAGCUCCAUCCACACACAGGGCAGCUUCCCUUUCACAACAGUGUUAAACUCAAAAAGCAAAAGCAAAAACCCAACUGGAACAAUGAUAUGUUUUCCAUAUGAAUGUUGCUUCUUCUUUUAUUGAAAUGCAUGUCAUUGUUCUUGAGGCUGGAAGGCUGAAGAUGAGUGAUGGCGUUUUCCAACUGUGCAGUCAAGCGCCGACCGCAGAACAAUGCGCUUUAAUAAACCUAGUGCAAAGUAUCCGGAGGGCUUUGAUCAGCAGGUGCAUCUGGGCAUCACACUACUUCUCUUUCCUUCCUGUUUCCUUCUUUCUGAUGAAUAACCAAAUUAGACUGGAUAGCAGAAAACUUCUUGCAACAGAGUUCGUGUGAACUUCAGUAUCCUGAUUUUACUUUCACCUUCAUCUGAGAAUUUGCCUCCAAAGAAAAAAAAAAUAAAAUGAAGGAAUAAAAGGACGUCUGUCUUUAGAUUGCAAAGCACCUGAUGUUCAGGUUAGUCUCAGCCUCGGAACUGACUUUGUUCCUGAAAGCAGUGGGUUAGGACAGUCUGGUAUCUGUUAAAUGCUGCUCAGUGUGAAAGCAUUCCUUCAACUCUUACCUCAUUGCUUCUGAAUCUGGGACACACCUUCCAACACCAUCUCCUUUAGUCCUAAGUGGAAAUAGCAGGUAUGAAAGUAAGCCUUAUGACCACACACCCUUCACCUCAUUUCCUUUAAGACACAGAACUAUAAUUAGAGCCACAAGAGUCACCUGGAUUUUCCACUUUGGAGUGGAGGAAAUCCGUGUCAUUAUUCUUUGUGCGUACUGUACUGUUGAAGACACAAAUGUUUCUCAAUACAAUCUGAUUUUGAAGUAGGGGAGAGAAAAAAUAAUGCAUACAUUAAAACAGCAAUCAGAUAUUAUGUGGGAAUCUUGAAAGGAUAAGAAACUCAGAUGAAAAUACUAGAAUAAUCACUCCACUUCCCUUUCUUCCACUUAUAAUAACUUUUGGUGUCAGGUCAAAAUAUUGUUUCACACCCAGGGCAUCUGUGGGUCAUUUUACCCUACAAAGUCACAA